CAGGGUGAGAGAGAGGGAGAGCAAGCGAGAGAAAGCGCGCAAUAGAGGGAGACUGUACACACUCUAGCAUCAGUAUGUGACUACCGGUGUCUGAUAACAUUGAUAUUGAGCUCCUUCAGCGGAGAACUUGCUGAGCUACCUUUUUUCAUUUGCAAGAGGAUGCCAGCUCUAAACCUGUGCAACUGAUGACAGACUGGACGUUGGAAUAGUUCAUUUUACUUACAUCUCUCAUGUUCUGCAUCUCUGAAGAAAGGCUUAUUACUGAAGACAAAAAUUCAUCCUCUCCCCUUAGCUCACAUGAUACUGAUGAUAUACAGAGUUUGAUCUUCCAGUGAAAGCUGCUGAAUUGUCAGGUUUCUGUUAUCUUCAGUGGAAGCUCCCAAGACUGUUUGAUAGAAAAGAUAUUUCUAAGGUCUUGGUUAGUCAUCAAGCUACAAAACAAAUUCAAGACCAGAAGACAAAAAGGCAGCUGAAGUAGUAAUUCUUCAGAAGAAUUAAGACACCAGUGUCUUUCAGGU